GAUGAACGCUGGCGGCGUGCCUAAUACAUGCAAGUCGAGCGAACAGACGAGGAGCUUGCUCCUCUGACGUUAGCGGCGGACGGGUGAGUAACACGUGGAUAACCUACCUAUAAGACUGGGAUAACUUCGGGAAACCGGAGCUAAUACCGGAUAAUAUAUUGAACCGCAUGGUUCAAUAGUGAAAGACGGUUUUGCUGUCACUUAUAGAUGGAUCCGCGCCGCAUUAGCUAGUUGGUAAGGUAACGGCUUACCAAGGCAACGAUGCGUAGCCGACCUGAGAGUGUUAUCGGCCACACUGGAACUGAGACACGGUCCAGACUCCUACGGGAGGCAGCAGUAGGGAAUCUUCCGCAAUGGGCGAAAGCCUGACGGAGCAACGCCGCGUGAGUGAUGAAGGUCUUCGGAUCGUAAAACUCUGUUAUUAGGGAAGAACAAAUGUGUAAGUAACUAUGCACGUCUUGACGGUACCUAAUCAGAAAGCCACGGCUAACUACGUG
rnacentral:rRNA from 1 species